rnacentral:rRNA from 1 species
CAAGGAGAACAUUNUCUUNGGAUAAUAAGUAAACUGGCGAACGGGUGAGUAACGCGUAAACAACUUGCCUCAGAGAUUGGGACAACAUUGGGAAACCAGUGCUAAUACCAAAUAAUGCAGCGGGCUCUUCGGAGCACAGUUGUUAAAGUAGGCUUCGGCUUACACUUUGAGAUAGGUUUGCGUCCGAUUAGUUAGUUGGUAGGGUAAAAGCCUACCAAGACCAAGAUCGGUAGCUGGUCUGAGAGGAUGAUCAGCCACACUGGAAUUGAGAUACGGUCCAGACUCCUACGGGAGGCAGCAGUAAGGAAUUUUGCACAAUGGGCGAAAGCCUGAUGCAGCAACGCCGCGUGAACGAUGAAGUUUUUAGGAAUGUAAAGUUCUGUCGUAUGGGAAGAGAUCUUUCGAAUGUUAAUACCAUUCGUUAAUGACGGUACCAUACAAGAAAGCACCGGCUAACUUCGUGCCAGCAGCCGCGGUAAUACGAGGGGUGCUAGCGUUGUCCGGAUUUACUGGGCGUAAAGGGUACGUAGGCGUUUUAAUAAGUUGUAUGUUAAAUAUCUUAGCUUAACUAAGAAAGUGCAUCCAAAACUGUUAAAAUAGAGUUUGAGAGAGGAACGCAGAAUUCAUGGUGGAGCGGUGACAUGCGUAGAUAUCAUGAGGAAAGUCAAAUGCGAAGGCAGCCUUCUGGCUCAAAACUGACGCUGAGGUACGAAAGCGUGGGGAGCGAACAGGAUUAGAUACCCUGGUAGUCCACGCCGUAAACGAUGAGUAUUUGGUGCUGGGGGAUUCGACCCUUUCAGUGCCGUAGCUAACGCGAUAAAUACUCCGCCU